rnacentral:rRNA from 1 species
AUUGAACGCUGGCGGCAUGCCUUACACAUGCAAGUCGAACGGCAGCAUGAUCUAGCUUGCUAGAUUGAUGGCGAGUGGCGAACGGGUGAGUAAUACAUCGGAACGUGCCCUGUAGUGGGGGAUAACUAGUCGAAAGAUUAGCUAAUACCGCAUACGACCUGAGGGCGAAAGUGGGGGACCGCAAGGCCUCAUGCUAUAGGAGCGGCCGAUGUCUGAUUAGCUAGUUGGUGAGGUAAAGGCUCACCAAGGCGACGAUCAGUAGCUGGUCUGAGAGGACGAUCAGCCACACUGGGACUGAGACACGGCCCAGACUCCUACGGGAGGCAGCAGUGGGGAAUUUUGGACAAUGGGCGAAAGCCUGAUCCAGCAAUGCCGCGUGUGUGAAGAAGGCCUUCGGGUUGUAAAGCACUUUUGUCCGGAAAGAAAUGGCUCUGGUUAAUACCUGGGGUCGAUGACGGUACCGGAAGAAUAAGGACCGGCUAACUACGUG